UGGGGAAUAUUGCACAAUGGGGUAAAGCUUUCAUUCGCGCCGCCGCGUUAACGAAGAAGGUAUUCGUAUCGUAAAGUUCUGUCCUAUGGGAAGAUAAUGACAGUACCAUAGAAGAAAGCUCCGGCUAACUACGUGACAGCAGCCGCGGUAAUACGUAUGGAGCGAGCGUUGUCCGGAAUUAUUGGGCGUAAAGGGUACGCAGGCGGGUUAUUAAGUCGAAUGUUAAAGAUCGGGGCUCAACCCCGCAAAGCAUUGGAAACUGAUAAACUUGAGUAGUGGAGAGGAAAGUGGAAUUCCUAGUGUAGUGGUGAAAUACGUAGAUAUUAGGAGGAAGACCAGUAGCGAAGGCGAAUUUCUGGACACAAACUGACGCUGAGGUACGAAAGCGUGGGGAGCAAACAGG
rnacentral:rRNA from 1 species